CAAUAGCGUAUAUUUAAGUUGUUGCAGUUAAAAAGCUCGUAGUUGGAUUUCUGCUGAUCGCUGUCGGUCUGCCGUCAGGUGUGUACUGGCAGUGUUUGGCAUCUAUUCGAGAUUGGGUGUCCACUUGAUUGUGUGCACUCGAUGUCGGAGCUAAUACUUUGAGAAAAUUAGAGUGUUCCACGCAGGCGCGUGCCUUGAAUACUGCAGCAUGGGAUAUUGGAAGGCCGAUUGAGCUUUCUUGUUGGUUCUCGGUUUGAUCGGAAUGAUUAAUAGGGAUAGUUGGGGGCAUUCGUAUUCAACUGUCAGAGGUGAAAUUCUUGGAUUUGUUGAAGACGGACUACUGCGAGAGCAUCUGCCAUGGAUGUUCUCAUUGA
rnacentral:rRNA from 1 species